UUUGCCUACGGGGCGCAGCAGUGAGGAAUAUUGGUCAAUGGGAGAGAUCCUGAACCAGCCAAGCCGCGUGAGUGAGGAAGUAUUUCGGUAUGUAAAGCUCUAUCAGCAGGGAAGAAAAUGACGGUACCUGACUAAGAAGCCCCGGCUAACUACGUGCCAGCAGCCGCGGUAAUACGUAGGGGGCAAGCGUUAUCCGGAUUUACUGGGUGUAAAGGGAGCGUAGACGGAGAAGCAAGUCUGAUGUGAAAAUCCGGGGCCCAACCCCGGAACUGCAUUGGAAACUGUUUAUCUAGAGUGUCGGAGAG
rnacentral:rRNA from 1 species